UACGUAGGGUGCAAGCGUUAAUCGGAAUUACUGGGCGUAAAGCGUGCGCAGGCGGUUCGCUAAGACAGAUGUGAAAUCCCCGGGCUUAACCUGGGAACUGCAUUGGUGACUGGCAGGCUAGAGUAUGGCAGAGGGGGGUAGAAUUCCACGUGUAGCAGUGAAAUGCGUAGAGAUGUGGAGGAAUACCGAUGGCGAAGGCAGCCCCCUGGGCCAAUACUGACGCUCAUGCACGAAAGCGUGGGGAGCAAACAGG
rnacentral:rRNA from 1 species